UACAGAGGGUGCGAGCGUUAAUCGGAAUUACUGGGCGUAAAGCGUGCGUAGACGGCUAUCUAAGUCGGGUGUGAAAGCCCCGGGCUCAACCUGGGAAUUGCGAUGGAGACUGCAAGGCUUGAAUCUGGCAGAGGGGGGUAGAAUUCCACGUGUAGCAGUGAAAUGCGUAGAGAUGUGGAGGAACACCGAUGGCGAAGACAGCCCCCCUGGGUCAAGAUUGACGCUCAUGCACGAAAGCGUGGGGAGCAAACAGG
rnacentral:rRNA from 1 species